UGUCUGUUAAUCAUCUAUUUCUUUGUGUGCUUUCUUGUGUGCCUUGCCAAUCUUUUAAAAAUAUAUUGGAAAAAUUAGAAAAACACAUUUUUUUAAAGUACAUUCCUAUCUGUCUAGCUUGUUAGGAUCUCUAUACAUUGGUGUCAAUCUUCUGUUACUGUGUUGCAAAUGUGUUGUCCUAGCCGAUGCCAAACUUCAUGUGUUCCAUUGUCUUAUAGGAAAUAUUAAUAUGCAGAGUCAAACCUUAAACCUUUACUCUACAGAUGGGGGAUUUUGUGUCACUUUUAGAAAGAUUCGCCCUUUGAUCAUUAAAAAAAUUCUGUAUGUUCUCCCAAUGCCUUAAAGAAAAAACAAACCCUUGCCUAUUGUUUUCAGUUUUUUAUUCCAACUGGAAUUAAUUUUUUGGUGAAUAUGAAGUAGAAAUUGAACUUUUUUCCUCCCAAUUAAAUGAGUAGUCAAUAAACUUAACACUAUCCAGUGAAGAGCCCUUAGAUAUAAGAUGUCACAUCAUAUGUUUUCGUGAAUUGCCAUAGAUUGAAGAGUAAGUUUCUAGAGGUCGCUCUUGUAGGUCUGUGAGGUAAAGACAGGUUGAUCUAGAGAAGAGCAUACUGGCCAUACCAGAUACUGAAUUUUCUAAAUUAUUCUUGCCUAUAUAAAAAAAGGGGUUAAACUAGAAGUAAUGCUAUUACUUUUUCCAAGAAAUGAGGGAAGGAGAAUGUAGGUAAAGACUGAGAAGUGCUCUCAUUUAGUAAAUAUUUUGGAAAAAUUUCAAAAGAACCAGAAAAUUGGAAAUGACCCAAUUGUUUACCAGUCAGGAGCUGGUUAGAGAAAACAUGGUCAGAAGCAACACUAUGUAGCCUUCAGUGAGAAGAUUAAGCUCUCGGUGUACUGAGAUAUGCAAGAGCUCCAAGAUACAGUAGAGAUGGAAAGUGGAUAGUAUGUAAGAUGUUACCUUUUGUUUAGGGGAAGAGUAAUAAAAACUAUCUGUGUCCAAAUCAAGAAGCUGGAGGGGAGUACACAAAGGACAAGAGGUUUCGUACAGAGUUGAGGGAAGAAUGGGGGAUGGGGACACUCCACAGUGUGUCUUUCAUUCUGCUUUGAUUUUUGACAAAGAGUGUAUUAGAUAUUCAAGAAAAAAAUCCUAGAGAAAACACAAACUAAAUAUCCCUCUUCAAAGGUAUGUCUGCCCCCUGAAGAUUCUUUUGUCUUUAUUCAAUUCUAGCUUUUCCAUAAAUACUGUAGUAGUCAUGAAGAAAGUAGUUUUACUCCGCUAAGAGCAGUCUCCGGCUACUGCUAUGAGGUAUACGCUGAGCUUUGUGAACAGUAAGAUAUAAAUCCCGAAUUUUCACUAAAAAGACUAACCUUUUCUAGGCUAAUAAAGAGAAAGUAUAAAACUUAUGGUUUGGAGUUUAAAAAAAAAUUUUUUUUAAAGAUUUUAUUUGACAAAGAGAGAGAGAUCACAAGUAGGCAGAGAGACAGGCAUAGAGAGAGGGGUAAGCAGGCUCCCCACCAAGCAGAGAGCACGACGCAGGGCUCCAUCCCAGGACCCUGAGAUCAUGACCUGAACUGAACCAUUCUCUGAUCUAGGUAAGAGUAACUACGUGUGUGCACUGGCUUUACUGUUCCUUUAUCUGUCAUUGUUUUUAUGGCCUAGGUGUUGACUAACAGCUGUGAUGACAUCAGUUUUCUCUUUUCACGUUCUUACGGCUUUAGGAUUUCAGAACUUUGAGUUCCUUCAUCUCCAUGCUGCUUUCAGCCAAAUGCUUGCUUCCUGCCCAGAGCCCCCUCGAAUGGCUCACCUGGCUCAGCUGGUCACCUCUGUCUCGGGCAGGGCUCUGCACCCUGGCUUAGCUCCAGGUCCUUUGUCCCGUGCUCACUUGGGGAUGAUCCCCAACACUCAGCCCUCCUGUUUGCUUUCUGUACUUUCUACAACAUCCAUUGAACUUCUACUUUGCCCCCAGCGGAGUCCCGUGCUGUGUGGCGUCACCCAGUAACAGAACAGACCUGACCUGCAGGGAAAACAUGACGUCAACCCUAUGAACAAACACCUGACUUGGCCUAAAGUUGAGGUCACUACACAGGGCCCAAAAGAGAGAGAGCAUGAGGGAGAGCACAAGCAGAUGCAGAGGGAGAAGCAGACUCCCCACCGAGCAGGGAGCCAGAUGAGGGACUCAAUCCCUGGACCAUGGAAUCAUGACCUGAGCCGAAGGCAGCCACUUAACUGACUGAGCCACCCAGGCGUCCCAGGUUCAUAACGACGCUGCAAAGAGGAAUGAGAAGCUUCACAGUUAAGCAUGCGCAGGACUCCAGAGCAGUGGACAGAGUCUACGGUAAGAGGGCCAGCAGAGGUGAUGUGACAAGAGCACCUACCUGGA